rnacentral:rRNA from 1 species
GGGUCAGUAGGUUGGUCGUGCCACCGGUACGUACUGGUCUCACUGAUUCCUCCUUCCUGAACAACCGUAAUGCCAUUAAUUUGGUGUAGCGGGGAAACAGGACUGUUACUUUGAAAAAAUUAGAGUGUUUAAAGCAAGCUAACGCUUGAAUACAGUAGCAUGGAAUAAUGAAAUAGGACGAUCGAUCCUAUUUUGUUGGUUUCUAGGAUUGACGUA